GUGGGGAAUCUUGCGCAAUGGGCGAAAGCCUGACGCAGCAACGCCGCGUGAGCGAAGAAGGCCUUCGGGUUGUAAAGCUCUGUCGGGGGGAAAGAAGGCACCUGGGUUAAUAGCCCAAGGGCUGACGGUACCCCCAAAGGAAGCCACGGCUAACUACGUGCCAGCAGCCGCGGUAAUACGUAGGUGGCAAGCGUUGUCCGGAAUCAUUGGGCGUAAAGAGCGCGUAGGUGGCUUGUCAGGUCCGGUGUGAAAUCCUGGGGCUUAACUCCAGGCGUGCAUUGGAAACCGGCUUGCUAGAGUCUGGGAGAGGAGAGUGGAAUUCCUGGUGUAGCGGUGAAAUGCGUAGAUAUCAGGAGGAACACCGGUAGCGAAGGCGGCUCUCUGGAACAGUACUGACGCUGAGGCGCGAAAGCUAGGGGAGCAAACAGGAUUAGAAACCCCAGUAGUCC
rnacentral:rRNA from 1 species